GAUGAACGCUGGCGGCGUGCCUAAUACAUGCAAGUCGAGCGAACAGACGAGGAGCUUGCUCCUCUGACGUUAGCGGCGGACGGGUGAGUAACACGUGGAUAACCUACCUAUAAGACUGGGAUAACUUCGGGAAACCGGAGCUAAUACCGGAUAAUAUAUUGAACCGCAUGGUUCAAUAGUGAAAGACGGUUUUGCUGUCACUUAUAGAUGGAUCCGCGCCGCAUUAGCUAGUUGGUAAGGUAACGGCUUACCAAGGCAACGAUGCGUAGCCGACCUGAGAGGGUGAUCGGUCACACUGGAACUGAGACACGGUCCAGACUCCUACGGGAGGCAGCAGUAGGGAAUCUUCCGCAAUGGGCGAAAGCCUGACGGAGCAACGCCGCGUGAGUGAUGAAGGUCUUCGGAUUGUAAAACUCUGUUAUUAGGGAAGAACAAAUGUGUAAGUAACUAUGCACGUCUUGACGGUACCUAAUCAGAAAGCCACGGCUAACUACGUG
rnacentral:rRNA from 1 species